rnacentral:lncRNA from 1 species
GCCACGCCCCCUUUCUGGAAAGGAUCCGCGGCGGCUGCAGCUGCCAAGGCAGCGCAGCCGGACCUCCCUGCCCGGGCGCCCCCCGGGUCCUAGCACCCAGCGCUCGCCUAGCGCUUUGUGUAAAAGAUCCAGACGGUUGCAUCAGGACCGAGGACCGAGAUCUCUGGAAAAGCCAGGGAGUGCAAUGGCCAUCCCGUGUUUCAUCAUUCAGGCGGGGCCACAGGAAAUCUGGCCUGGCAGCAGUGCUCAGAGGCUAACAGUGGUUGCUGAGGGUGGGAGACCCACUUAUGGAGACAAAUUUAUGGAUUAAAAAAAGAAAUCAGGGGAUCCAGGAGACAUCUUAAAGACAGCUGCAGAAUGGAAUAGUUUGUGAGCCACUGGGACUUUCAAGGCCUUCUCUUCCCAUUCUUCAAGCUCUGUCGCUUGUUGGAGCCUUAAAGACACCAGAUUGCUUAACAAUGGGGAUAUAAAAAUUAAAAAUAAUAAAAGACACUGGAUCAAGGCGGCUAGUUGUUCUUGGAGGGCUGGAGUAGAUGACAUACUCUUGAAAUCACUCUUACAGAGGUGACCUGCAUGGGUGUGUCUUCCUGCUGGCCAGAGAGAAGAUCUGAAUUAAUCCAUCAGGAACAUUCACAUUUCCUCCAGGCUGAUUUGGGCGGGACACCUAAACACCCUAAGGAAACAAGAGUUACGAUGUUUUUUCUUCUUCUUCUUCUUUUUUUUUUUUUUUUUGAGAUGGGGUCUCACUCUUUCACCCAGGCUGGAGUGCAGUGGUGCGAUCUUGGCUCACUGCAAGCUCCGCCUCCCGGGUUCACACCAUUCUCCUACCUCAGCCUCCCGAGAAGCUGGAACUGCAGGUGCCCACCACCACGUCCGGCUAAUCUUUUGUAUUUUUAAUAGAGAGAGGGUUUCACCGUGUUAGCCAGGAUGGUCUCGAUCUCCUGACCUCGUGAUCCGCCUGCCUCGGCCUCCCAAAGUGCUAGGAUUACAGGCGUGAGCCACCGCGCCCGGCCUAAUUUUUGUAUUUUUAGUAGAGAGACGGUUUCACCAUGUUGGCCAAGCUGGUCUCAAAUUCCUGAACUCAGGUGAUCCACCAGCCUGGGCCUCCCAAAGUGCUGGGAUUACAGGCGUGAGCCACCACGCCUGGCCUUUUUUUUUUUUUUUUUGGACAGAAAAAAAAUUCAGGAAAAUGUGGAACACUGACCUAAAGAAAGCACAGGCUUUUUUUUUUUUUCCUUUUAAGUAGAUAUUCAUAAGGAAAAGAAUCCGGGUCCGGUUUGGAAAGGUCAGUUAUUAGGAAUCAUUUAUUCAUUCAACAAACACCAUCAAGACUGCCCAACAGUGUUCCAAGCACCUUUUUUUCAUUCACUGUCUCCUUCUGUUAAUAAAACAACUUGUCUCAAA